CGCCACUUCUCUUCCCUUCACACGUCAGACGCCUCAGAGACACCAGCUUCGCUCUUGCUUGGAGACGGUGCCGCUUGACGUGUUCUGUCUUUGUCACAGUGUUUCAUCAGACAUACGUGUUUCUGUCAGCAGAAGUUUCUCUGUUUCUAACCUUUCUAGGUUUCGUCAGAUGAGCAGACAGAUUGUGGAGACUGAUUUGUGUUGAGAAUGGAUGGGCUGUGGGGGAAGCAGAUGGUGCCGACACGGGCACUGAUCCGUACUCCCUCAUUCAUCAGCAUCUUCUCUGGCUGCUCCUCUGGGCUCUGACAGAUCUCCAUUAGAAGAGUGAGCCGUACUGGCCCUUCAGGCACUCUUUCUCUUUGUGGUGUCCAUGCUCCUUCUGCUAGGAGUGGAAGGAAAGUUCGGCAAGUUCAUCUGCUUUGGCAGGCUUGUGUAUUUUGUGCGUGUGUGUCUUCAUGAAGGUUCUUCUGAAUCCUGUAGUAUCAGCGUGUGAGCGAGACACCGUCAUCCAUCCCAGCACGCAGAGAGAGAGAGAGAGAGAGAGAGAGAGAGAGAUUCACACUGAAUCUGGAUCAUCCACCAUUCAAAUAUCAACACCACAAUCUCUUCAGGUGAGUGAAGAAGAAACUGUUCACCCAAAACAUUCUGCUGUUAUUUUUCACUGUAUGCUGUUCAAUACCCUGUAUGUUGUUAACUUUAAUUGUGUCUUUAUUUUGUCCGUAAUUGCACUGACAAAUCUUUUCAGCCGCAUAUACAAAUAAAUACAGAAUGUGAUUUUAGCAUGCACUGCGUUUAGUGUUUCUAUUAUUGAUUUUUUUGUCUUUGUUCAAGAGCAGUCCCCGGUUUCUUUGUUUUUAAUGAUAUUAUUGACAGAAGUAUGUCUAUUACACUGCGAUCCCUAAUGUGCAGAUGUAAUAUUUUGACACAUAUCUGAUCUCAUUUAUAUUCAAGACAUAAGACACAGUUUAUAUGAAUACUUAUGAAAGUGAUUUGAGAGUGUAUUCCCAGCAAACACAGAACGUUCCCCAACGUUAGUUUUUGGUUACCUUUUUUGGGGGAACCAAAAAAAUAAUGUUCUUUUCAGGUUUUAAUUUUUUGCAACCAGAAAAUAACGUUCCCAGAACGUUGCAGGCUGGCUUUUUUAAAAUAACCAGAAAAUAAAGUUCCCUGAUGGUUAUUUUUUUGGUUAUUUUUAUGCAAUCAGAAAGUAAUGUUCCCUGAUGGUUAUUUAUUGGUUCUUUUUGCAACCAGAAAAUAACGUUCCCUGAUGGCUAUUUUUUAAUGAUAAAAAUUGUCAAAGCUGGUAAACGUCAGUGACGUGCAAUACAGAAAUUAAGAUCACAAUAUCACAUUUUAUACUGACCAAAUGAAAUUAAUAAAUGUGCCCUUUAAUGGCUGAAAAUAAUAAACUAGUUAAGCUAAAUGAAAAUACUAUCAUAAAUCUAUGUGUAUUUCUUUAGUGCGGUUGUCUGUUACUGUAUGUGUGUGCGCUCGAGCAUGUGCAUUCUGCGCUCUGAUUUAAUUUUACCUCACUCACUAGCACAUUAGUUUAGCGGUAUUAUUUAUUUAUUUUAUUUAAAAACGUACAGAUUUGAGAGUAAACUAAUAUUUUCGUGAUUUUCGAUUGAUUUGACACAUCUAAAUCAACACAACAUGAUGUAAGGACUGAAACUCAGGCCUUUUGAUUAAUACUUCUGUGGUGAGACAAGAAUACUGUUAGCCUGAAGAUAAUUAAAUGUUUAUUCUUCUGUCAAUAAAAAUCUGCUUUAAAUACUGUGUUGAAGUCAUUGGUUAUUUUAUUUCAAUAUCUAUAAUAUCUGAUGCUGAGGUACACACAGUGUGGUUUUAUUAGAAAUGGUAUACUGUGCUGUUUAAAUCGAACAUUACUUCAGUAAUGAAAAAGGAUCAGGCUAAUAGAAGAAUGUAAUGCAUUGAUUUCAUCCUCCAUAUUGUGUGGGAUGAUGUAUUUACUUAUUGUAAUUACACAAGCGAUGGAUAAAAACACAGCAUGGAUGUAUUUAUUACUGACGUGUAGUGAGGCCAAACGGACCAGAGAAAAAUAUUUUAGGCUAACGUUCUGGGAAUGUUCCCCUAACGUUAGUUUCUGGUUCCCAGGAAGUUUUUUAAGGUUUGUUUUUGGUUAUCUUUACGGAAAUAAAAUGUUAGUUUCAUGGUUUCUAUAACGUAAGGGGAACAUUCCCCUAGCGUUAGUUUUUGGUUCCCAGAACCUUAAGGGUCCGUAAAGGUCCUGGAGAACCAAAAACAAACCUUAGAAAAUAACGUUCUGGGAACCAAAAAUUGUUAGCUGGGUUAAUCUGUUCAGAUGUGCAUCAUAAUUAUCACAAGCAUGCAAUCCAGUGCUAAAUUGUGGCUAGUAAGAAAUACUGUAUGAAUUACAUGUCGCCGCUGUGAUAUAAUCAGAUUUUAGGGUCAAUGGCAUCAGGGCCAAUGUAUAAUGGGCUCGUGGCAAACAUGAUCAUCAAACAUGAUUGGCUGUUAUUCUGCAGUGUCAAACCAUCAGCUUUGUUUAACACAUUGAAACAUUUCAAUUUAAAUGGACAUUGAAAGGAGUUACACCUAAAAGUAAAGUGUGAUGUAUUGUGUAAAGCUGUGGUAGUGAGUGAACCCUGACCCCACUCUGAUAAACAACACAGCAGUCACCAAGCAGACGAACCCAUUAGCUCUCUCUCUCUCUCUCUCUUCCCUGGCCUGGACACAGGACACUAAUGGCUUAUUACUGAAAUAAAUGUGCUUAUUCCCUUUUCUAUUAGAGCAGUACAAGCGUAGGCCCUCUGACACUCCAGAUUAAUGUGCGUGUUAAAGCAACACAAUUAGAUAAAGCCACCGCUACAAAGACAAUGCUGUGUGCAGGCACGCUUUUCUCCCUUUCUUGUAAAAAGGAUGUAUCUGGUUCCUAAAUAGAUUUUACCCUGCAGAAUGACUCUCCCAGAAAGCAAUUACCACAAGUUUGCGUCGGCUGAUUAUUCAUGAGUCACCGUGAGCAUUUUCCACUACUAUAUUUAACCGGCCUUUAUUUUCCACUGGUCUCUACAAGUGCACCUUGGACAGAUCACCGAAGGGAGGGGAGGGGGGCAGACUGUAUGAAUAGGAACCCAAUUACCUAUUACUUACCUGCUCUUAAAGUGACAGGAAAAUUACAGCGCCUGUCCAUAUGCUCUUUUGUGAAACGAGUGGCCCGAUCCAGAUGUCGCCCUCAGGAGCUGUCAGCCGUUAUCCGGCCCUUCUUUCUGUGCAGCUCCGCUUUUAAUGAUGAAUCCACAACAAGUCAAUGACCUCUAAUUAGAUCAGAAAAAUCUUGUGUUCAGAACAGAGCAUGUGAGCGGAGCUGAGCGGUGAGAAUUUCUGUUCCCCGCUCACGUGGGUGUUCGUUUCCCCCGCUCCACCGCUCAAAGUCGCACCAGACCGCUCCACUCAAUUUCGCUCCUCGCUCACCUACAAUUUCAUUCCGCUCCGGUGAAAUCGCUCCACUCUCACUCAAAUUUAAAAUUCUUCUGCAUGCCUAACACCUGCCGUUUUCAACCGAAGCCUUACCCCUCGUUUACACCGCACACAUCUGCGGCACGUUACGGCUCCGAUGCGGCUACCGGAACUGAUCGCGGUCAUUCUAGUCUAUACUUCAGCUGCGAUCGGUGCCUCCUCUUCAGGGGAAGCUGGAAUUCAAAAUACGUGUUCGGUGCUU